UACGGAAGGUUCUGGCGUUAUCCGGAUUUAUUGGGUUUAAAGGGAGCGUAGGCCGUUUUUUAAGCGUGUUGUGAAAUGUACCGGCUCAACCGGUGAUGUGCAGCGCGAACUGGUAGACUUGAGUACGCAGUAAGCAGGCGGAAUUCGUGGUGUAGCGGUGAAAUGCUUAGAUAUCACGAAGAACUCCGAUUGCGUAGGCAGCUUGCUGUAGCGUAACUGACGCUGAAGCUCGAAAGUGCGGGUAUCGAACAGG
rnacentral:rRNA from 1 species